GAUGAACGCUGGCGGCGUGCCUAAUACAUGCAAGUCGAGCGAACAGACGAGGAGCUUUCUCCUUUGACGUUAGCGGCGGACGGGUGAGUAACCCGUGGAUAACCUACCUAUAAGACUGGGAUAACUUCGGGAAACCGGAGCUAAUACCGGAUAAUAUAUUGAACCGCAUGGUUCAAUAGUGCAAGAUGGUUUUGCUGUCACUUAUAGAUGGAUCUGCGCCGCAUUAGCUAGUUGGUAAGGUAACGGCUUACCAAGGCAACGAUGCGUAGCCGACCUGAGAGGGGGAUCGGCCACACUGGAACUGAGACACGUCCCAGACACCUACGGGAGGCAGCAGUAGGGAAUCUUCCGAAAUGGGCGAAAGCCUGACGGAGCAACGCCGCGUGAGUGAUGAAGGUCUUCGGAUCGUAAAACUCUGUUAUUAGGGAAGAACAAAUGUGUAAGUAACUAUGCACGUAUUGACGGUACCUAAUCAGAAAGCCACGGCUAACUACGUG
rnacentral:rRNA from 1 species